UAUGUGUAGGUAAUCCUGUCUAACAUAGCUUUUGUUAUGUAUUGUGCCGUAAAACUUUACAAAAAAGACUGCAUUAUGCAAGUAUCCAUUUCAAUAGAAUGUCACUGCAACAACUGUUUCGGGGGGAACGCUCGUCUGAAUGUGCCAGAGUGCAGAAUAACUGAUGAAUUUACUAACGCUCAACACCGGUUCAAAAAGCGUAAUUAAAUUGUUGCGAGGAGCACAGUUAGUCACCAACACUCUGGAUAACAUGAAAACAGCCAUCUGCUAGGGCGAGUAAAUGGGUCAGCGUUUGGGUGGGAGCUAAAGCUUAAGAUGAUUCUUAUGGCAUUGCACACAUUCAGUGUAAACCAGAGUGACUUGACACAACAGGCCAAGCAAGCUGUACAAACAAAACGGAAACGACACAGGACGUCUUAUUUAAUGAACGGGUUUGCUGUCUGCCGUGAAGCAUUCAUCCAUGUAUACGGCAAAAUCAAUGACGAGACCUUCAUGUUACCCGUUUCUGCAUGAUUGAAGAAGGCAGUGAGCUCCGUUGGGUCUUUUUUAAAAUGGUGAAGCGAUACCUACUGUGUGAUUGGGAAAAGGGGAGAUAAGCUGUGUGGGGAAACUACUUUUUUCACCCGAUCUGUCCAACUUAUCACCUCUAAAAUGAAAAUAAAACACUAUAAAGAGUUUUAA